rnacentral:lncRNA from 1 species
AUGAAGAAGUUGAAUACCCAAGAGGUUAAAGACUUGUCUACAGUCCCACAUCUCUUAGAUCUGAUGGGUCCUGAUAUGAUGCCUUCAGCCUCCUCUCCCGCAGACUUCUGUGCUCCUACAGGCUCCUCCUUUGUACUAGACCACUUCGUUGCAGCUACAAGAGAAAACAAGAGAAAUCCAUAAACACAUUCUUUAAUAGGACUUGGAUUUCUAGAUUUCCACAUUGAAAACACAUAUGCCUAACAUUUAAGACUGACAUCACAGAAGACAACAUGCCUUUCCUAAGACAAUUUG